UACGGAGGGGACUAGCGUUGCUCGGAAUUACUGGGCGUAAAGCGCACGUAGGCGGCUUUCUAAGUCGGGGGUGAAAUCCUGGAGCUCAACUCCAGAACUGCCUUCGAUACUGGAGAGCUCGAGUCCGGGAGAGGUGAGUGGAACUGGCGAGUGUAGAGGUGAAAUUCGUAGAUAUUCGCAAGAACACCAGUGGCGAAGGCGGCUCACUGGCCCGGUACUGACGCUGAGGUGCGAAAGCGUGGG
rnacentral:rRNA from 1 species